rnacentral:rRNA from 1 species
CCUACGGGAGGCAGCAGUGGGGAAUAUUGCACAAUGGGGGAAACCCUGAUGCAGCGACGCCGCGUGAGUGAAGAAGUAAUUCGGUAUGUAAAGCUCUAGCAGCAGGGAAGAAAAUGACGGUACCUGAGGAAGAAGCCCCGGCGAACGACGUGCCAGCAGCCGCGGGAAGACGUAGGGGGCAAGCGUUAUCCGGAUUUACUGGGUGUAAAGGGAGCGUAGACGGCAGGGCAAGUCUGGAGUGAAAGGCGGGGGCGCCACCCCCGGACUGCUCUGGAAACUUUACGGCGGGAGUGCAGGAGAGGUCAGUGGCAUUCCUAUUGUAGCGGUGAAAUGCGUCGAUAUUAGGAGGCACCCCAGUUGCGAAGGCGGCUUACUGGACUGUACCUGACGUUGCGGCUCGAAAGCGUGGGGAGCAAACAGGCUUAGAUCCCCGAGUCGUC